rnacentral:miRNA from 1 species
CUAUUUUGGGACGGAGAGAGU